rnacentral:rRNA from 1 species
CCUACGGGGGGCAGCAGUGGGGAAUAUUGGACAAUGGGGGGAACCCUGAUCCAGCCAUGCCGCGUGUGUGAAGAAGGUCCUCGGGUUGUAAAGCACUUUCAGUGAGGAAGAACGCCUGGUGGUUAAUACCCAUCAGGAAAGACAUCACUCACAGAAGAAGCACCGGCUAACUCCGUGCCAGCAGCCGCGGUAAUACGGAGGGUGCGAGCGUUAAUCGGAAUUACUGGGCGUAAAGCGCGCGUAGGUGGCUUGAUAAGCCGGUUGUGAAAGCCCCGGGCUCAACCUGGGAACGGCAUCCGGAACUGUCAAGCUAGAGUGCAGGAGAGGAAGGUAGAAUUCCCGGUGUAGCGGUGAAAUGCGUAGAGAUCGGGAGGAAUACCAGUGGCGAAGGCGGCCUUCUGGACUGACACUGACACUGAGGUGCGAAAGCGUGGGUAGCAAACAGGAUUAGAUACCCGUGUAGUC